UUUGAUCCUGGCUCAGAUUGAACGCUGGCGGCAGGCCUAACACAUGCAAGUCGAGCGGCAGCACAGAGGAACUUGUUCCUUGGGUGGCGAGCGGCGGACGGGUGAGUAAUGCCUGGGAAAUUGCCCUGAUGUGGGGGAUAACCAUUGGAAACGAUGGCUAAUACCGCAUGAUGCCUACGGGCCAAAGAGGGGGACCUUCGGGCCUCUCGCGUCAGGAUAUGCCCAGGUGGGAUUAGCUAGUUGGUGAGGUAAUGGCUCACCAAGGCGACGAUCCCUAGCUGGUCUGAGAGGAUGAUCAGCCACACUGGAACUGAGACACGGUCCAGACUCCUACGGGAGGCAGCAGUGGGGAAUAUUGCACAAUGGGCGCAAGCCUGAUGCAGCCAUGCCGCGUGUAUGAAGAAGGCCUUCGGGUUGUAAAGUACUUUCAGUCGUGAGGAAGGUUGUAGUGUGAAUAGCACUAUGAUUUGACGUUAGCGACAGAAGAAGCACCGGCUAACUCCG
rnacentral:rRNA from 5 species